GUGUGUGCGAGACAAUGAGACGGAGGAGCUUUCAAUGGCUUCAGAAGUGUGUGUGUGUGUGUUGGAGAGAGGGUUAUAUGUGUGUAUAAGUGCUGAUUACAUGUUUGUGUGUGUGUGUGUUGUCUGCAGGGGGUUAUGAUGGCUAUCGGCCUCCCUUCCCCAAUGUAGGGGGCAACUACAGCCAGACUCAAUUUGGAAACGCCCCACGGGAGUACAGCAACAACACCUACCAGAGGGAUGGCUACCAGCAGCAGGGCUUUAAGCGGGGUGCAGGUCAGAGCUCUCGGGCGUAUCUCGAGGACGUGGAGGAUCCUUCAGAUGCAGCCGAGGGAUGAUCACGCACCACACCAGCUAACUGGAGCGCUCAGGAGCACACCCCUGAACUGCCCUUACAGCCCCCAUUAGUCCUAAAAAAUACCCCCCCACCCGUAACUCUCAUGAGAGUCUCAAACAUACCCCCCCAACCCUCAGCAGCUACCAUCAAAGCGGUGUAUUUAGAAUGUUGUAAAAUGAACAUUCUAAAGAAUAUCUGUCCAUGGAAUGUGAUCUGGAAGUUUAGAAUCUUACAUUGUUGAUGAACACAUUGUUUUAGUAGAACGUUCAAGUCCCCUGCGGAAGGGUUAGAAGCCUCAUAAGAGUUCUAAACACACACAGCCAACCCUGUCCUGUCCUGUCCUCCUCUCCCUCCACUCCCCCUGGGCCCGCCCCACUACUCUGUCUCUGAACUAGCAGGAACCUCUGCCUUGUGUGCACAACCAGGAAGUCAUUCAGUUUAGGGCAGGGGCUUCCACGUACGAGUGGCCAAAACCAGACUCAAGCCACGGGAGAAAUCCCCAAUGCGGCUGCUAUGGUAACCUCAUGUCUCACGGCGCUGAGCUGCU
ensembl:lncRNA